AUUUUUCUCUUCUACUUUCCUAAAUUGUAUAUGGUAUCAGAGCGGGUAGAUCUCGAGUGACAAUUAUCAAUUUUUUCUGUAAAACUGGUGUUGAGAAGGGAGAGAAGCCUUGUUCAAUUGCGAGAAUGGGAGAUUGCCAGAACAAUGGAGAGCAAGCUGCUCGAGGAUCAACUGAAAAAGAAGAUCAUAGAGUUCAGAAUUUUGACGAUCCGUUGAAUCUACAAAACUCAGACCAUCCAGGUAUGGUACUAGUCUCUGCACCUCUGGUUCGUAGUAACUUUCGAUCUUGGAGUAGAGCAAUGAAGAUUGCUCCUGGAGCCAAGCAGAAGUUAGGGUUUGUUGAAGGUAUAGUGUCGGCUCCAAAUGAGGGUUUUGAGACAUAUGAACAGUGGAAACGAUGUGAUUACAUGGUCACAUCAUGGAUAUUGAGUUCAAUAUCUAGAGAAUUGGUUGAGGCGUUUAUCUACACGCCCUUUUCCAGAGAGUUUUGGUUAGAUAUUAUUGAGAGAUAUGGGGAGAGUAACGACCCUUUAAUCUGCCAAUUACAGAGGAAAGUAGCUUCAAUUUCACAAGAUAAUAAUUCUGUCUUGGUUUAUUUCACUAGACUGAAGAAGCUUUGGGAUGAGUUAGGGUCUGUUGAUAUUCUACCUCUAUGUACUUGUGGUGUUUCAAAGCUUAUUGAUGAAAUUAACAAUAGGAAUAAGGUAAUGCAAUUCCUAAUGGGGCUUAAUGAUGAAUUUGAUCAAGUAAGAAAUCAAGUGUUGACGACGAAUCCUUUGCCUUCCAUUAAUAAGGCAUACUCUGCAGUUCUUAAGUUUGAAUCACAGAAACAAGUAUUGUCUAGUGUUUCUGAGUCUGCUGACUCUUUAGCCCUCUUCAAUAAAUCACAACCACAAUCACAAGUUGCUAGGAAGGAUAUGAGGAAAUAUGAUAUGAGGAAAGGGCAUUGUACAUACUGUGAUAUGGAUGGUCAUACCAGGGAAGGCUACUUCAAGUUGAUAGGGUAUCCUGACUAGUUUAAGGGUAGAAACAAGGGCAAUUCACUGUCUGGUUAGCAAUAUAAAGGUUCAUAUGGAAAUAGAAUGGUUGCUAUAGCUGAGAGUGUCUGUAAUCUGGAUAAUCCUCUAGAAGUUUUUUAUGAUAACUCCAGAAUUGAAGAGAUUAGUACUGUGUUGAAUUCUCUUCAACUAGAAAUUCAUAAGCUAGUGAAAGGGAAAACUGCAUUGGUGGCAGGAACAGGGCUAGGGCCAUCUUUCAUGUCACAAGUAGGAAUUUCUUCUAUUCAAAAUUUAAUUACUUUUGCUGGUAAUUUUGGUUCAGUGUGUACUUGUUGUGCUAAACUAUAUGUAGAUAGUGAGUGGGUAAUAGAUACUGGUGCCACAGAUCAUAUAACACCAUCUAAACACAAUUUCCACACAAUUCAUCACCUUACACAACCACUUUCAGUACAUUUAGCUGAUGGUAAGCUGGUCACAUUUCUUUACAUUCCAUAUUACCACUUCAAGAUGUUCUUUAUAUACCAAAUUUCCAGUAUAACCUAUUGUCAGUUAUCAAAGUUCUUAAAACCACAAAUUUGAAACUCAUUUUCUUUCCAACUUGUUUAUUUCAGGACCAACUGACUAAAGAUGUUGUUGUAGGGGGAAAGACAGAAGCAGGUCUUAACAAAAUUAAUAAACUGAGUUUUUCUUCUCAUACUAUAGAACUGGUUUUACUUACUAUUUCUCAACAUUUCACUCAAUUGAGUCCCUUUAUAAAUACCAUGAUCUUUAAGCAUCAAGGUAAUAAAGAGAGAAUUUCUUCUUCCACUGCUCAGAAUAAAAUCAAUGGUUGUAAACUUUCAUUUUCUUUAUUACAUUCUAGAUUAGGGCAUGCUUCUCUUGGGAAAAUGCAAUAUUUACAGGGAUUGUCAAUAGAAUCUGAUGACAAUUUCACUUGUUUGAUAUGUCCUCUAGCAAAACAGUCUAGGUUGCCUUUCUAUUCUAGUCAUAUCAAAACAGAACAUGCUUUUUCUCUCAUUCAUGUUGAUAUUUGGGGACCUUAUCCAAUAGAAUCAGUUACAGGGGCCAAAUAUUUUGUUACAAUUGUGGAUGACUUUACUAGAGCAACUUGGACUUUUAUGAUGCAUCACAAAUCUCAAUGUGCUACAAUUUUAUCCAUUUUCAUUAACAUGGUCUGAACUUAAUUUGGUGUUACUGUUAAGACUCUCAGGACAGAUAAUGGUGCUGAGUUUUUAAGUAAAGCUUGUGUUCAAUUGAUGAGUGCUAAUGGUAUUUUACAUUAGAAAUCAUGUCCUUAUACUCCACAACAAAAUGGGGUAGUGGAGAGAAAACGUAGACAUUUGUUGGACACUGCUAGAGCUUUAAGACUUCAAGCAAAAUUGCCAAAAAAAUUCUAGUCUGAAUGUGUGCUUAGUGCUACAUAUUUGAUCAAUAGAUUGCCUGUUCAACAAUUUCAAUGGGUUUGUCCUUAUGAGAGAUUAUAUGGUAGGCCUCCUGAAUACGAUCACUUAAGAGUUGUUGGGUGUUUAUGUUAUGCAACUAAUCUUUCACCUUAAAAGGAUAAGUUUGCAGAAAGGUCUAUUAGGUCUGUAUUUCUUGGUUAUUUAGGGAGCCAUAAGGGAUAUAGGUUAUAUAAUCUUAACACUGGGGGUAUAUUUGUGAGUAGGCAUUUUAUUUUCUUUGAAACAAUUUUCCCCUUUAAAGAUACUUUCUCUUCUGAGUCAGUUUCUAUUCAUGUUUCUGUCUUUGAUUCUUCUUCCUCUACUAAUUCUCCUGUCAAUUCUCUAAAUAUUUCCUCUCCAGUUAAUGAGUUAGUCCUAGAACAUAAUUUUAUUAAUUCUUCCUAGAACAUAAUUCUAUUAAUUCUUCUUCACUGUCCUUUGAAUCACCAGCACAUUCUUCCCUUGAACAUGUUACUUCUGUUCCUCUUAGAAGGUCUUCUAGGCAAGUACAUAAACCUAGUUGGCUUAAAGAUUUUGUUAAUUUAGCUACAUCAGCUUCCUCUUCUAGUCCACUUGCUUCUGCAUCUUCAGUCAUUACAUCACAUUCUAAUUCAGGUAUUGUUUUUCCUAUACAGUUUACCCCUUCCUACCACACUUAUAUGUGUAAUGUGUCUAUAAUUCAUGAACCUUCUACAUAUGCUCAAGCAUCAACAAAUGCAAACUGGAUUGAAGCUAUGUAGCAAGAGUUGUUAGAUUUGGAAAAAAAUAACACCUGGGAGUCGACUAUGUUACCUAAAGGGAAAAAGGCAAUAGGAUCUAAGUGGGUUUAUAAGGUUAAAUGUAAGCCCAAUGGAGAGGUAGACAGAUUUAAAGCCUGUUUGGUAGCAAAAGGUUACAAUCAGGUUGAGGGUUUGGAUUACAAAGAUAGAUUCUCACCUGUUGCAAAGUUAACUACAGUGAAAAUUUUUAUUGCCUUAGCAACAGCAAAGAGAUGGCCAAUUUUCAAUUAAAUAUUAAUAAUGCAUUCUUGCAUGGCUAUUUAAAUGAGGAAGUUUACAUGCUUCCUCCGCAAGGCUAUAAAAAAGCACAACCAGGUCAAGUAUGUUUGUUGAAAAGGUUCUUGUAUGGACUCAAACAAGCUUCAAGACAGUGGAAUCUGGAAUUCACAACAUUUCUCAAAGGUUUGGGAUUUCAAUAGUCUCAACAUGAUUAUUGUCUUUUCACUAAGCCUACUUCAACUUUCUUUUCAGCCUUGCUUAUAUAUGUUGAUGAUGUGAUUUUGACUGGCACUUCUAUUGAUGAGAUCACGGUUGUUAAAGAGGCCCUUCAUUCUAAGUUCACUAUUCAGGAUCUAGGCUACUUGAAGUAUUUCUUGGGGUUGGAAGUGGCUAGAUCAGAACAUGGCACUAUUAUCAGUCAAAGAAAAUUUUCAGCUGAUGUUCUGGUAGAUGCAGGAAUGUCUCAUUGUAAACCUACAUUUUCCCCUUUACCAAAGGGUCUUCAUCUUUCUCCUGAUACUGGUGAACCUCUUCCAAAUGGUGAUGUUUAUAGGAGAUUGAUUGGGAGACUAUUAUAUGUUAAUAUCACUAGACCAGACAUCAGUCAUGCUAUCCAACGCCUUAGUCAAUUCAUGACUGUUCCCCGUAAGCCUCAUUGGGAAGGAGCCAUGCAUGUUUGUAGAUAUUUGAGGUCUUCUCCUUCACAAGGGCUAUAUUUUCCAAUAGAGAAUGAUUUCAAGGUCACUGCAUACUGUGAUGCAGAUUGGGCUUCUUGCUCUUUUUCUAGAAAAUCUUUAACAGGUUUUUGUAUUUUCUUGGGCCAUUCUUUGGUUUCUUGGAAGACUAAGAAGCAAUCUACAGUUUCUAAAUCUUCUACUAAAGCAGAAUAUAAGGUUAUGGCCUCUACAGUUUGUGAGUUGCUUUGGGUGACUUAUAUCUUGAAAGAUUUGCAAGUUCCUGUUCAUUUGCCAGUAAGUCUUAAGUGUGAUAACAAGGCAGCUUUACACAAUGCUGCUAAUCCUGUUUUCCAUGAAAGAACAAAACACAUUGACAUUGAUUGCCAUAUUGUAAGGGAUCAGCUACAAAAAAGCUUCAUAUUUCCUUCUCAUGUUUCUUCUCAAUUGCAGCUGGCAGACAUUUUUACUAAGCCAUUGUCCAUUGAUCUUUAUCAGCAAUUUAUAUCCAAGUUAAAUUUGGUUUCCUUACCUAAUCCUACUUGGGUGGGGAGGGGGAUGUAGAGUAUUAUAGAGUAUAGUUGCUGAUGUAUUGUUAAUCCUGUUUUCCAUGAAAGAACAAAACACAUUGACAUUGAUUGCCAUAUUGUAAGGGAUCAGCUACAAAAAAGCUUCAUAUUUCCUUCUCAUGUUUCUUCUCAAUUGCAGCUGGCAGACAUUUUUACUAAGCCAUUGUCCAUUGAUCUUUAUCAGCAAUUUAUAUCCAAGUUAAAUUUGGUUUCCUUACCUAAUCCUACUUGGGUGGGGAGGGGGAUGUAGAGUAUUAUAGAGUAUAGUUGCUGAUGUAUUGU
rnacentral:misc_RNA from 1 species